UCCCUGGAGGACUAGUGGUUAGGACACAGCACUCUCACUGCUGCUGCCCGGGUUUGAUUCCUGGCCAGGGAA